GGAGAUUGACUGACAGACUGUCUACUUGCCACCAGACAGUAAUUUACCCUGAAACCUUUUUAAGUAAGGACUAACGUAAACUGACUCUCAGUCUGCUCUCAACCAGUUAUUUAAGACCUUCUAAUGCCUAGUGCAAACGUUUCCUGCGCAAGUUUGAAUCUCUCAGUCAGGGGGGAGAUUGACUGACUGACUGUCUAUUUGCCACCAAACGUCAAAAGUCAGUUACACAGAAACCUUUUAAAGUUUAGCACAAACGUUUCCCGCGCAAGUUUGGAUCUUUACCAUUGAGGGUGGCUGACUGUUCUCGACCAACCAUCAUUCACACGCAAAAACUUUAAAGAUAAGUAUGAACGUGCCCAAAGCAGUUUUCGAUCUUUACCAUUAAGGAGGCUGACUGACUAUCGUCUACCACCCGUCAUUAACACAAGAAAAACUAAAGAAAUGUUACUCCAUAUGGACCUAUUCAUUUACUCAUUAUGCUGUGAGUACACCACAGUUUUAUCAGUGAAAAAAAUUAUAUUUGUGUGUUUUCUCACUGCUUGGCAAGGACAGAUGUGGCCCUGUUAAAAAUGUUUAAAUGUCGUUUGGUUUAAGGAACAGCACACUGAUUUUGUUUUAAAAUAUUCCUGUUUGGACAGUCUGUUAAAGUCAUAAAGGAAUACUUGAUAUAUUUCAUAAGUAAAGUGUAAAUGUAAUAUUAGUUUUUAAUGUUGUGAAUUUGGACUGAACAGCACACUUCUGUUUUAUAUCUAAACCUUUUGUAAAAUAAAUGAUUGUUCAAUAAACUGUGUAUUUUAUCUU